rnacentral:rRNA from 1 species
GACGUAGGGGGCAAGCGUUGUCCGGAUUUAUUGGGCGUAAAGAGCGUGUAGGCGGCCAGACAGGUCCGUUGUGAAAACUCGAGGCUCAACCUCGAGAUGUCGAUGGAAACCGUCUGGCUAGAGUCCGGAAGAGGAGUGUGGAAUUCCUGGUGUAGCGGUGAAAUGCGCAGAUAUCAGGAAGAACACCUAUGGCGAAGGCAGCACUCUGGGACGGUACUGACGCUGAGACGCGAAAGCGUGGGGAGCAAACAGG